rnacentral:misc_RNA from 1 species
UAGUCAGGUUCAACUUUACAUCUUUUACCGAAACAAGAAAACAUCCCAACUAGUGAUGAAAAACAGUCCCGCUUCGACAAAGACAUCGAACCGCACCAACGUAAUUUACAAAUUUACGUGUCCACACAAGGAUUGUAGGCCUUGUAACAACCAUUACAUUGGUGCGACUACGACAACUUUGUCGAGACGUUUGACUAUGCACAUCCAGGAUGACACAGGACCAGUCGAACAUUGGGUAGUCACACACAAACAAAAACCCACUCACAAACUACUCAAAGACAGCACCGACAUCAUCGACGCCAACAGCGACCACUAUCGCUUAUUCAUCCAAGAGGCCAUAUACAUCAGCAGACAUAAGCCACCACUUAACAUACAGAGAUACACCAACAUCUCACUGGCGCUCUGGGGUGUAUGAUCCUGAUGGGAAAAGUGAUGGGGAACGGUCCUUAUCGGCCCUGUUCAUGUGCUCCAACCGAAUAGCUGGAGACUGUGCGUUAUGAAAAAUGCUUGUCUGUGUUAUGUGUAUGACGUAUGUGUCAUUAGGUAUGCAUUAAGACUCAAGGGAGUUGGAAAUGAUGAAAAAGUGGAAAGUUAAAGUGAUUCAGUGACCCAGUAUAGUGAAGUGUAAGUGUAUAUGUAUCUUCGUCACCUGCAAUAUUUGUAACAUGGCUAUUUUCAAUAUUUUGCAAAUCAAAAUAGCUACACUGACGACCAUGUUUAGCGGUACUUUUUAGUACAUUCCUUGAAAAUGAUUGUCUCAAAUACAAUCGAAACGCGUCGGAAAACAUGACUUAAAUGAGUAUAACCGAUAUAAUCAAUACAGUUCCUGAUUCAAUCAAGAAAACUUUCAACAAGAUACAAAAACUUAACAGAAAACUAUCUAAAGCCAAAACUGCGGUGCUGUUUAACGACAUAUGCCUCAAAGAAAAUAUCCUGCCCAAAUACUCUGAUGUGAAACUGCAUGAUCAUAGGGCAAAGAAACAGCCAUUUACUGAGACAUUUCGACGCAACUUAGUCGAGCAUCAAUUGAAUCAGAAACAAACACAAGUAAGUGAGCUUCAACAAAAAGUAGACACCCUUAACAAGAAACUUAGUGAAAGCGACAUCGACUCUAGCAUCAAAAACAGACUUUUCUUGUACUUAGAUGAGAAAGCUGAGAAUUCCCAACACCAAGACAACGUAAGAGUGACCAAGAAACUUACGAGACUUUACGGUGGCAGUUUUAAGUUGCCAGAAGUAGAAAAACAACAAGGCUACAUCAAUCUCUCAUCAGUAGAACUAACCGAAGCACAGCAUAAGUUACUUAAUCUCGGACUCAACUGCCAUUUUCAAACCAAAAGAAACAUUGUCCACAAGCAAACUGAGUUAGAACUACUUUACCAAAGUAUAUUGAAACUAGAAGCUGGCGAUCAUAUUUGUGUUCAUCCUGACUUGAAAGGCCAACUAGCUGGUGAAGGUAGCAAGCUAAGAGGAAGUGACUACAGCAAACUUUUGACGCAAGAUCUUCGAGAGGCGGCAAAACAAUUGAAAGAAGACCCCCGUAUCAUUGUCAGACGAGCCGAUAAGGCAUCUCUUUUUGUUAUCCUAGACAAAGAAAGCUAUAUUAACAAAUUGAACAACAUACUAUCUGAUCAAUCCAAGUUCAAACAAAUCAAGGAGGACCCAACCAAGAAACUAAAAGCAAAGGUCAACAGAAUCAUUAAAAGUGCCAACGCUCUUAUCAACGGAGUACAUUUUGAGUCAAUAUCUGGUGAGUACACCCCAGGGUACGCCUACGGAACAGUUAAAACACAUAAACCAGACAACCCAUUAAGGCCUAUUAUUUCUCAAGUCUGCACAUCUACUUAUAGGCUAGCAAAAAGACUUAACCAAUUAUUAAAACCCUAUCUUCCUUCCAAAUACAGUGUUCAAUCCACCGACGAGUUUCUAGAUAUACUACGCGUUAAAAAGCCACAAGGUGAAAUAGCGUCUAUUGAUGUAGACAACCUUUUUACUAACGUACCUGUAGAUACAACAAUCCAGUUAAUUAUAGACGAGGUUUACACCAAGAGAAGUAACGGCCUAGACAAACUUGCACUUGCCCCUGAAAUUCUUAGAAGCCUUCUAGAAGCGUGUACUAAGGACUCCCCAUUUCGUGGCCCCGAUGGAAAGCUCUACACCCAAAAAGAUGGCGUGGCGAUGGGUUCACCUCUCGGUCCUCUAUUCGCCAACUUUUACAUGGCUUUUGUCGAGGAGAGUACUUUCAGUGACCCGGACAUCAAACCAACGACAUACUGUCGAUACGUAGAUGAUGUUUUCUUAGAGGUGAGGGACCCACAGCAUUUAGCUGAUAUCAUUCGAGCACUUGAAAACAACUCUGUUUUGAAAUUUACUUUUGAAACACACCAAGAUGGAAGCUUGAAUUUUCUUGAUGUUACUAUUCAGACCACCCCAGACAGAUACCUCACUGGCGUCUACGCCAAACCCACCAACAAAGGAAAAACACUCAAUGCCAAAAGCGAAUGCCCCUCUCAGUACAAGAAAAGCGUGCUCCGAGCAUUCAUAACACGGGCAGUAAAAACCAGUUCCACUUAUGACUUGAUGAACACAGAAUUUGACAGGGUCAAACAACUUCUGGUGAACAAUGGAUUUACAAACACCGAGGUAGACGAAGAAAUCCACAAACAACUUGAAAAACGACACAAGCCACCACAACCUGCGCAACAACAACAACCUACCAAGGUCCAUCACCUGUAUUACAGGAACUACAUGAACACACAACACAAAACUGAUGAGAAGAUCCUCAGAGACAUGUUGAAGAAGAACAUCACCUGCACAGACGACAAUAGUCAGGUUCAACUUUACAUCUUUUACCGAAACAAGAAAACAUCCCAACUAGUGAUGAAAAACAGUCCCGCUUCGACAAAGACAUCGAACCGCACCAACGUAAUUUACAAAUUUACGUGUCCACACAAGGAUUGUAGGCCUUGUAACAACCAUUACAUUGGUGCGACUACGACAACUUUGUCGAGACGUUUGACUAUGCACAUCCAGGAUGACACAGGACCAGUCGAACAUUGGGUAGUCACACACAAACAAAAACCCACUCACAAACUACUCAAAGACAGCACCGACAUCAUCGACGCCAACAGCGACCACUAUCGCUUAUUCAUCCAAGAGGCCAUAUACAUCAGCAGACAUAAGCCACCACUUAACAUACAGAGAUACACCAACAUCUCACUGGCGCUCUGGGGUGUAUGAUCCUGAUGGGAAAAGUGAUGGGGAACGGUCCUUAUCGGCCCUGUUCAUGUGCUCCAACCGAAUAGCUGGAGACUGUGCGUUAUGAAAAAUGCUUGUCUGUGUUAUGUGUAUGACGUAUGUGUCAUUAGGUAUGCAUUAAGACUCAAGGGAGUUGGAAAUGAUGAAAAAGUGGAAAGUUAAAGUGAUUCAGUGACCCAGUAUAGUGAAGUGUACCCGCACCUGGACCUAUGUGAGGUCAGCAGUACCAGCAGCAGCUCGAUCAACAGCAGCGUUCAUCACGGCGAGGGAGUCCUGUGGCGCUUUCUGCCGCUGGCUGACCCGUCUGUGGAGCUGUUCAUCAGUCGCGACCUCGACUCCCUCCUGGGACAGAGGGAGAGCGACGCCGUACAAGAGUGGAUCAAGUCCGGUAAAACCAUUCACGUGAUGAGAGACCACCCUCUUCACGCUGUCAGCAUUCUGGCAGGCGCCUGGGGAGCCCGAAACCACCGCUCUGACAUCUAUCGACCGCUGCGAGAACGUCUGUCGGAGGAAUCUACACCGUUAUCCGGUCCAAGUGCAAUGUGACAGUGGAGGAGUGGGGCGACCAGUACUGUCUGCUGGGGCCCUA